GACCCAGAUCAAGUUUGACUGAAAGGCAAACACCAUUCCCAACUGGCUUUACCAUCUGUCUUUCCACAGAGACAACUCACAGGCUAUAAAGUGCUUAACAUUUCCUUGGCUUCAGAAGGCACUAGGGAAGGAGAGCUUAAGGUACCAUUAAAAAAAAAAAGAAGAAGAAGAAGAAGAAGAAAGAAAACCACAUCUUGGUUAACUGAG
rnacentral:lncRNA from 1 species